UAAUCAUGUGUUUAACAGACGUUACAUUCAUUUGAUUCUGGUGGCUUUGGCCAGCUGACUGCUUGUUCUACGUUUUACAUUGCUUACGUCAGAACUGGUUGUUGAGUCUUGCAAGUAACCUAGCUUCUACAUUUUUCCUCUUUAAAGGUUUUGAUAGUUGGAAGGAAACGAAAAAUCUGAUUUGUUGACACGAGGUGGCCUCACCAAUAUUAAAUUUAUUACGAAAGUACGUCCGCAUAAAACGAGAGAUCUCUGCCAUACGUCGCUCUACCGGAUUAGCACUGGGGCUGUAAAGAGAUGUCCUCAACCAUUUAAUAUUAGCCAGGUGAAGUAUUUC